rnacentral:rRNA from 1 species
UACGUAGGGUCCGAGCGUUGUCCGGAAUUAUUGGGCGUAAAGGGCUCGUAGGCGGUUUGUUGCGUCGGGAGUGAAAACUUCGAGCUUAACUCGGAGCUUGCUUUCGAUACGGGCAGACUGAGGCAUUCAGGGGAGAACGGAAUUUCUGGUGUAGCGGUGAAAUGCGCAGAUAUCAGAAGGAACACCGGUGGCGAAGGCGGUUCUCUGGGAAUGUUCUGACGCUGAGGAGCGAAAGUGUGGG